AACCUGGUUGAUCCUGCCAGUAGUCAUAUGCUUGUCUCAAAGAUUAAGCCAUGCAUGUCUAAGUAUAAGCACUUUAUACUGUGAAACUGCGAAUGGCUCAUUAAAUCAGUUAUAGUUUAUUUGAUAAUACCUUACUACUUGGAUAACCGUGGUAAUUCUAGUGCUAAUACAUGCUUUAAGCCCCGACUUCUGGAAGGGGUGUAUUUAUUAGAUAAAAAACCAAUCGUAGCGAUACGUUUACUGGUGAAUCAUGAUAACUAUUCGAAUCGCAUAGCUUUGCUGGCGAUGGUUCAUUCAAAUUUCUGCCCUAUCACCUUUCGAUGGUAGUAUAGAGGACUACCAUGGGUAUAACGGGUAACGGAGAAUUAGGGUUCGAUUCCGGAGAGGGAGCCUGAGAAACGGCUACCACAUCCAAGGAAGGCAGCAGGCGCGCAAAUUACCCAAUCCCGAUACGGGGAGGUAGUGACAAUAAAUAACAAUACAGAGCUUUUCAAGUUUUGUAAUUGUAAUGAGAACAAAUUAAACCUCUUAACGAGAACCAAUUGGAGGGCAAGUCUGGUGCCAGCAGCCGCGGUAAUUCCAGCUCCAAUAGCGUAUAUUAAAGUUGUUGCAGUUAAAAAGCUCGUAGUUGAACUUUGGCCUUGGCUGGGCGGUCUACUCGAAUGAGUAGUACUUCUCUGGCUGAGGCUUUCCUUCUGGCGAACUAUUGUGCCAUUCACUUGGUGCGAUAGGGAACCAGGACUUUUACUUUGAAAAAAUUAGAGUGUUUAAAGCAGGCUUACGCUUGAAUACAUUAGCAUGGAAUAAUAAAAUAGGACUUUGGUUUUAUUUUGUUGGUUUUCGAAACCGAAGUAA
rnacentral:rRNA from 1 species